rnacentral:rRNA from 1 species
AAUGAACGCUGGCGGCAUGCCUAACACAUGCAAGUCGAGCGGGUGCAGCGAGCUUGCUCCUGCAUUCAGCGGUGGACGGGUGAGUAAUGCCUAGGAAUCUGCCUGGUAGUGCGGGAUAACGUCCUGAAACGGGCUCUAAUACUGCAUACGUCCUGAGGGCGACAGUGGGUGAUCUUCGGACGUCACGCCAUCAUAUUAGCCUAGGACGGUUUUGCUAGGUGGUGGGGUAAAGGCUUACCAAGGCGACGAUCCGUAACUGGUCUGAGAGGAUGAUCAGUCAGACGGGAACUGAGACACGGCCCCGACUCCUACGGUGGGCCGCAGUGGAGAAUCUUGGACGAUGGGCGAAUGCCGGAUCCUGGCAUGCCGGGUGAGUGAUGAAGGUCUUCGGAUGGUAAAGCGCUUUAGGUUGGAGGGAAGUGAAGUAAGUUAAUACCUGGCGGUUUUGACAUUACCGACAGAAUAAGCACCGGCUAACUCCGUG